UAGCAGCAGGUGUUCUCUUCUCCUUUGCACUGUUAAGUGGCGGUGAACAAUGGUGAUUUGAGUCUGAGACGAUUUAGUUGCCAUUUACACGUAGUUGUAUUGCCCUAUGGCAGCGAUUAAAGUGGUCAUUUAAGAAGACACUAAGCAAGUUGUGCAGCAAACAUAGCAGUCAGCUGGGGCUUGAUUUUUGGAAGGUGUGAAAACGGCACAGGAGACGUUUUACAGGUGGAAGCACAUGUCUGUGUUUCUUCAGAAACACCUGCUUUUAUAGGUCAAAGACAAAGAAGGCCUGUUAGAGACCCUCUAACAAGCACAAGAAGGUUUUUCUGGUUAAAAAAAACUGACCAGAAAAACAUUCAGACUCGGUGGUCAUAAGACCAAGCCUUACGCCAGGUCAGAGACAGAGCGCGAUGCGUGUGGAGAACUUGGCACAACCUGAAUAACACUGGACAAACACCAGCACAGAACCCCUCUGCAUGAUGAGGACGAUGACGAGCCCAUGACAUUUCUGGAAUAUUUACGCCGUAUAGAGCAGGAAGAAGACAAAAAACAAGCAACUACAAUCCAGGCUGUGUGUGAUAGUGGAGAGCUAGACCCCCUUUUUUUUUUUUUUUUUUCCUUUUUUCCAACAACUGGUCACCUCAGGGUGAGUGUGUGCCUGGUGAUUUUAUCAAUGUUUUUGAGCACAGUGUAUCAGACUUUAAUCUCCUACCUACCAUACCCAGGUGCAUGAGUAUUGAUGAUGAUGCACGCAUAGAUUUUUGAAGGUUAUAUAACAGAUUCUCAACUAGCAGAGUUUUACGAUGCCUUCAUCAAUACCACUAGUGCUCCGCUUUCUGACCAGAGUUCUAGCGACCCAACAGCCGAUAACGUGAUAGAAGCUAAACUUAACAACAACAACAACAACCACAACCACAACAACAACCACAACCAACACAUGAAUACUUACAAGAGAUAGCUGGAGCUCUAACUAAGGUUAACGUGGCAAUAAACAAAAUGUGCUGUCUAUUAGAUAAUAUCUGUACCAGGAUUUUUAAUGUUUGACUUUUAAAGCCCUAGCCAUGGACCCUCUUAAUAAGUUAUUCAAACACAGUAAUGGUACCGCUAAGCCUGUUACAUGGUUUGACUCUGAGGUAUUUAAUCAGAGGACUGAAGAAAUGAUAACGAAAUGUGAUAUUUUGCACAGAAGACUGAAUAGUAUGUGUAUCUGAGAACGCAACCCGUGCCACACCAUCUGAUGCCGCUCCUGCGGCUUCUGCUGCUCCUGCACACAUCACAGUACAUCCCCAUUCCUCUAAUGUGAUCACUAUUCCUCCUCAUGAGCCCUCCAACACUGACAAUGUGUUAGGUGUUAAUCCUUCACAGACAAGAGCUCCCCUUACAAACCCACACGGGUUUGGUAAACAUAGUCAUAUCUGCUUCUAAUGCAAAAGAAUUGCGUGAGCGUAUUGUUUUUAGAGACAUAAGCGUGGAUAUUCCAGACCAGGUACCAGCGAGGGUAAGAGAUUGCGUAGCCAAUGUCAUAGAUAGGGCAGUGUCCGGCUCUCAGCCGGGCAAAUGUUGUUUUGAGAGGCCCUUCCCUGGCUUCUGAUGUACAGACUGUUUUAAAUGCUGAAGAUGAGUACGAUGCAGAUCUGUGUUUUGAUGAAAUGGCACAGGUCAUGCAGAGUAAUGAUGGUUCUAUAGGUGAUGACGAAUUAGUUUAUUGUCAUAGUAGCGCAGAACAGUAACGGUGGUGCCCGUUUAAGACUGGCACGCACACCAUAUGACAACAUACUGUCAAAGAAAGGUAAAGAUUUGUACAUAGCAAACAAUGCCCCCAACAACUUGUGCUAUGCAAAAGGCAUUACAGGCACCCAAAAUUUCGUGGGUACACGUUCAUAGCACAUAACGCACCUGGCUUUGAUAACUACAUACUUCUGGAGUACUUUGUUAAGCAGGGCAUAACACCCAGUAUCACAAUGAGAGGGAGCUGUGUGAUUUUGAUGUAUGACAUGGAUUAUGACCAGUGAUGGAUCGAGUCAUUCGGCUUUUUGCCCAUGGGACUUGCUAAAAUACCCGUCGCUUUAGGUUUUGAAGACCUGGAGAAGGGUCACUUCAACAAAAAAUUUAAUACAAGAGGUAAUGAGUAUUAUGUGGGACCAUACCCAGACCCCUCCUUCUACGGCUAUGACAGGAUGUCUGAAAGUGGUGAGAUUUAUGGAAUGGUACCAGACCGUCUCCCUCUGAUUUUUCCAUGCUGAAUUGAGGCGUUACUGUGUUAACGAUGUUGAUGACAUGCUUGCUCUUAUGUAUGAUGGUGCAUAUGUUGACCAGAAUAAGAUGUUUUCUAACUUCUCUAUUGAAUGGCUUCAAUAUGUAGCCCACACUACCAACACAGUGGUAAAACACGUGCUCCGAGGAGCCGAACAGAGAGUUGGUCCGUAUUUUGUGGAUGGUUUUGACCUCACAAACAAUAUGGCUUAUGAAUUUGCAGGGUGUUUUCACCAUGGGUGUGUUAAAUGCUACCCCGAGAGUGAGGUUAACCCUGUCAGCAAGGCAUCCUACGGACUGCUGCAUCACGCGUUUUGUGAUAAAGUGAAUGCGUUGAGAUCACAACACAGUGAUGUGGGAGAGUGAAUGGGAGGCAUUGAAGUAGACAGCCCCCGCAGUUAUGACAUUCAUGCGCACAUACAGAAAGCCAGAACACCUGAACCCUCGAGACGCCCUCUUUGGAGAGUGCACCAACACCAUGAAACUGUACCACAAGACUACUUGUGAUGGAAAAAAUACUUUACUAUGACUUUACCAGCCUCUAUCCCACAGUGCAGUCUAAAAAAGAUUAUCCUGUCAGGCACCCGCACAUCAUUUACAACAACUUUGACAGGCUGGAAAAUUAUUUCAGCUUUGUUAAAUGCUCAGUACUCCACCUAGAGGUCUGUUUCACCCAGUCCUUUCCUACAGAUGCCACAACAAACUGAUGUUCCCACUCUGUAGCAUGUGUUCUGAAAAGGGGAACCAGCAGACAGCAUGCCUGCACACUGGCACUGAGAGGAUGUUGGCAGGCACCUGGUUGUCAUUUGAGCUUGAAAAAGCACUUGAGAAAGGAUACAGGAUUGUUUCUAUUGAGGUGCAGCAUUUUCUCAAUAAGAGAGAUACAUUGUUUAAAGCCUUCUUAAAAAAUUAAACAGGAGGCUUCAGGCUAUCCAGAACAUAUUAAAACCCCUGAUGACCAGCAGACUCGACCAAGAGAUGUGUAACUAAAGCUGUUAGAAACUGUAACAAACUUCUGCUAAACUCGUUAUGGGUGCGUUUCAGCAUGAGUGCAAACAUUCAUCUGAGUUAAUCACGGACCCUUCUAGAUUCAGCCAGUUAAUGUUUAGUGACCAGUAUGACAUGCGUCAGUUUAGUUUCAUCUCUGAUGUUGCCAUAGUGCAGUGGUGCCAAGCUGGUGGUAGAGCAGCCCGUGUGAAGGAUGUUAAUGUCUUUGUGGAUGCCAUGACCACUGCACAUGCUAGACUGAUGCUGUAUGAUUUGCUAUACAAGCUACAGCAGCGCGUGUUGUAUUAUGACACGGGCAGUGUCAUUUUCACAGCACCCCCUGGCGACUGGAUGCCGCCUCUAGGACCUUUCCUCAGGGAUCUCACAGGUGAACUAGAUUCUGGAGAGGGGGGUGCGGAUUUAGUCGAUAGUCGAAUUUGUGUCCGCGGGGCCAAAAUGCUAUGCAUAUCACACCUUGCAGGUCAAGACACACAGGUUAAAUGUAAAGGUGUAAAACUCAAUGUGCUAAACUCAAAAGUUGUCACCCACGACUCCUUGAAAGGAUUAGUCCAUGUGUUUGUAGCCAAUCAGACAUCAUACACACACCUAGUAGCUGUAUCUGAUACUAUCAGACGUGAUAAAAAGAUCUUUCAUUUGAAGAGUGAAACCAUUGUGAGGAACGUCAAAGCGGUCUACAACAAGCUCCGUGUGUUCCCAGACUAUACAACUCGCCCUUAUGGAUAUUAAAUCAGAUUAAGGGUUUGAUGGCAGACUGCAGCACCUUUUUAGCAUGGUCGUCAGUGGCCCCAGUAACUGCAGAAAGACUUUUUGACCAAAAAAAAACGUUGUUGAAAAUGCUUCCAGGAUUAUUUCACAUAGUAUUGAUAGCAUUGUGUAUAUACAUAUGUAUGUGUAUACUCAUGCUGGCAGCCGCUAUAUAACCAUUUUCUUCAGAUAAGAGACAUUAACUUUGUGGUAUGCCUACCUACAGACAAGAACAAUUUGCUUAUUAUAGAUAAUUUAAUGAAUGAUGCCGCUAAUAAUGUAAAAGUACAAAAUGUGUUCAUGAAAUAUGUGCAUCAUAGGAAUUUGAGUUGUAUAUAUCUAGUUCAGAAUUUGUUUUAUUCAAGGAAAAUCCAGUAGAACCAUUUCCUUGAACACUAACUUACCUAAUUUUGUUUAACCCUAGAGAUAAAUAGAACCAAUUUACUGUCAGACCAUCCUGUUGCUUAUCCCAAAGCAAAAAACACUGAAGAGGUGAAAGGAUGGCAUUGCGCAUGCAGGGGAAUCCAUCUCUGUUUGCACUUUAUAUACAAGUCACCCCCUAGCCUGCGCAGACUUAUUAUUAGUAAUGCAAACAUAGAUUUCAUUAAUGCAUUGUGAGAUAGCCUUUAACGUACUGCAAGGCAGAUCAUUAGUACAAACAACCAAAAAAGGGGAAAAAACAAUCAGACUGAUCGCUGACAAAAAGAUCAAAACUUUGAAAACCCUUUCGUAACCUGUCUGAUUGUGAA